rnacentral:tRNA from 1 species
GGGUGCUUAACUCAGUUGGUAGAGUGUCGUCCUUACAAGGCGAAUGUCGUGGGUUCGAAUCCCUCAGCACCCA